rnacentral:rRNA from 1 species
GAUGAACGCUGGCGGCGUGCCUAAUACAUGCAAGUCGAACGAAGCGGGGACGGGUGAGUACCACGUGGAUAACCUCCUAUAAGACUGGGAAAACUUCGGGAAACCGGAGCUAAACCGGAUAAUUAUAGAUGGAUACGCCCUGCAUUAGCUAGUUGGUAAGGUAACGGCUUACCAAGGCAACGAUGCAUAGCCGACCUGAAAGGGUGACCGGCCACACGGGAACUGAGACACGGUCCCAACUCCUACGGGAGGCAGCAGUAGGGAAGCUUCCCCAAUGGGCGAAAGCCUGACGGAGCCACGCCGCGUGGGUGAUGAAGGACGUCGGGUCGUAAAACUCUGUUAUUAGGGAAGCGGUACCUAAACAGAAAGCCACGGCUAACUACGUGCCAGCAGCCGCGGUAAUAC